rnacentral:rRNA from 1 species
CAGGCGUCGAGCGGCGGACGGGUGAGUAAUGCAUAGGAAUCUGCCCAGUAGUGGGGGAUAGCCCGGGGAAACCCGGAUUAAUACCGCAUACGCCCUUUGGGGGAAAGCAGGGGAUCUUCGGACCUUGCGCUAUUGGAUGAGCCUAUGUCGGAUUAGCUUGUUGGUGGGGUAACGGCUCACCAAGGCAACGAUCCGUAGCUGGUCUGAGAGGAUGAUCAGCCACAUCGGGACUGAGACACGGCCCGAACUCCUACGGGAGGCAGCAGUGGGGAAUAUUGGACAAUGGGGGCAACCCUGAUCCAGCCAUGCCGCGUGUGUGAAGAAGGCUUUCGGGUUGUAAAGCACUUUCAGUGAGGAGGAAAACCUUACGACUAAUACUCGUGAGGCUUGACGUUACUCACAGAAGAAGCACCGGCUAACUCCGUGCCAGCAGCCGCGGUAAUACGGAGGGUGCAAGCGUUAAUCGGAAUUACUGGGCGUAAAGCGCGCGUAGGUGGUUUGAUAAGCGAGAUGUGAAAGCCCCGGGCUUAACCUGGGAACGGCAUUUCGAACUGUCAGGCUAGAGUGUGGUAGAGGGUAGUGGAAUUUCCUGUGUAGCG